rnacentral:rRNA from 1 species
GUGAAUCAUCGAGUCUUUGAACGCACCUUGCGCCUCUUGGUAUUCCGAGAGGCAUGCCUGUUUGAGUGUCUUAUAAAAUCAAUCCCCACGGGUUUCUGACCUGGCGGUGGACUUGGAGUUGGGCGCCUGCCGAUCACACGGCUCGCCUUAAAGACCUUAGUGGGAUCAUCGGCCCAUGGCUUGACGUAAUAAGUUUCGUCUCGUCCGGCCCCUGACGUCCGCUCACAACCCGCCCUCGGGCAAUCACUUUAUCGUCUAGACCUCAAAUCAGGUAGGACUACCCGCUGAACUUAAGCAUAUCAAUAAGGCGAGG